rnacentral:rRNA from 1 species
CCUACGUGAGGCUGCAGUGGGGAAUAUUGGACAAUGGGCGAAAGCCUGAUCCAGCCAUGCCGCGUGUGUGAAGAAGGCCUUCGGGUUGUAAAGCACUUUCAGUGGGGAAGAAAGCCUUGGGGCUAAUACCCUCGAGGAAGGACAUCACCCACAGAAGAAGCACCGGCUAACUCCGUGCCAGCAGCCGCGGUAAUACGGAGGGUGCGAGCGUUAAUCGGAAUUACUGGGCGUAAAGCGCGCGUAGGCGGUCUGAUAAGCCGGUUGGGAAAGCCCCGGGCUCAACCUGGAACGGCAUCCGGAACUGUCAGGCUAGAGUGCAGGAGAGGAAGGUAGAAUUCCCGGUGUAGCGGUGAAAUGCGUAGAGAUCGGGAGGAAUACCAGUGGCGAAGGCGGCCUUCUGGACUGACACUGACGCUGAGGUGCGAAAGCGUGGGUAGCAAACAGGAUUAGAUACCCUAGUAGUC